UGAGCAAUCUGCCCUUCACAUCGGAAUAACCAUUGGAAACGACGUCUAAUGCCGAAUACGACCUCCUUUCGCAUGAUCGGAGGUGGAAAGCUCCGGCGGAGAAGGAUGAGCUCGCGGCCUAUCAGCUAGUUGGUGUGGGUAAUGGCCCACCAAGGCGACGACGGGUAGCCGGCCUGAGAGGGUGACCGGCCACACGUGGGACUGAGACACGGCCCAGACUCCGUACGGGAGGNAGCG
rnacentral:rRNA from 1 species